rnacentral:rRNA from 1 species
CCCAGACUCCUACGGGAGGCAGCAGUGGGGAAUCUUGCGCAAUGGGCGAAAGCCUGACGCAGCAACGCCGCGUGCGGGAAGAAGGCCUUCGGGUUGUAAACCGCUUUCAGCAGGGAAGAAGGCGAGCGGGUUAAUAGCCCGUCAGUUGACGGUACCUGCAGAAGAAGGUCCGGCUAACUACGUGCCAGCAGCCGCGGUAAUACGUAGGGACCGAGCGUUGUCCGGAAUCAUUGGGCGUAAAGAGCGUGUAGGCGGCCACUUAAGUCCUGCGUGAAAUCUCGGGGCUCAACCCCGAGCGGUCGUGGGAAACUGGGUGGCUAGAGUGCGGGAGAGGAGAGUGGAAUUCCUGGUGUAGCGGUGGAAUGCGCAGAUAUCAGGAAGAACACCCGUGGCGAAGGCGGCUCUCUGGAACGCAACUGACGCUGAGACGCGAAAGCGUGGGGAGCAAACAGGAUUAGAUACCCUGGUAGUCCACGCUGUAAACGAUGGAUGCUAGGUGUGGGCGGUGUCGACUCCGUCCGUGCCGAAGCUAACGCAUUAAGCAUCCCGCCUGGGGAGUACGGCCGCAAGGCUAAAACUCAAAGGAAUUGACGGAAUCGAAUU